ensembl:lncRNA
GGCAUUUACUUCAUCUCUCUGGGAACACUCAGAGGAUAGAAUAUUCAUUGCAGUGAUUUCCUGAAUUCUACAACUGUGUUUUCUUUAGAAGCAUCAUCUUUUUCAUAAGCAAAACCAAGUAUAAUACAAUGUAGGUUAUUCUUAUUCUUUUCUAUUGAUUACCGUUUUAAGUCAAAAUAAGGGCCAUGUCUACUCAUAGACCACUAGAGAAAAGAAUGUUGUGUGAUUCCAGGGUCUGACACUUACUAGUUCUUGAAGAAUUGGUCAAUUUCCUUCAACUCCAGGAGCCUCGCCUUUUUCACUUGCAAAAUGAAGAUAAUAAAAUGUAACUCACAAAAUUGUUAGGAGGAAAUGCAGUAUGAAAUGUAAAGUUAUAAAAGUUCUUAACUCACGAAUAAGGGUCACUCAGAUAACAUUAACCUAUUUCCUUGUCAUUUUUUGGAUUUCCUUUGACUUUGUUCAAACUGAUUUUAGGUCUUCUUUCUCUCUGCAGGACAGUGAUCUGGACAACAUUGCUUUAUUAUUUCAGCUGCUUUGGAAGGAGAAUUGGAGUAGUAACCCAGAGAGUCAGCAUUACAGGUCAUUAAGAAAAAGGAUAGAAUGUGCCUCAAGUGGUGGAUCACUCAAGAAUAAAAAGAACCAUUUACUGAAUUCUGCAUGUGGAUAUUGCUGUUGUGGCUUUACAGACAUUCUAUGGACUCCUCACAACUUUAAGGCUAGUAUCAUUUUGCCAUUUUAGGUAAAAAAAAAAAAAAAAAAAAAAAUGAGGCUUGAAUUUAGAUUAAGUUCAAUCUAAAUCUAAAUUUCUUAAAGUUAAGAAACCAGUGAUUGAGACCCAAAUUCUGGUUAACUAAAAGCUCUUAUUUUCAACUCUCAAUGGCGGACUAGUCAAGAAUAAAAAAGGACCAUUUGCUGAAUUCCAUAUGUGGAUAUUGCCAUUGUGGAUUUACAGACAUUCGAUGGACUCCUCACAACCCUAAGGUUAGCAUCAUUAUGCCAUUUUAUGUCAAAGAAAUUGAGGUCUGAGCUUAAAUUAAAUAUGAUACAUUAAAAUUAAGAAACCAGUGAUUGAGACCCAAAUUCUGGUUGACUAAAAGGUUUUGUUUUCAACUCUCUGGGGCCACAUUUCCAGAACCACGAAAACAGUUUAGCAUUAACUUAUCAAACACUUACUGUGCACCUACCAUGCCAUACAAUGCUUUGUAGAGUAUUAGAGUGAACAAUGGCCAUGUCUACCCUACUUGCCAACCUGUUUCAGCUUCCAUGUCACCUUAGAGAAGCCUAAGUUCACCUAUCCCAUGGGGUGAACCCAUUCUUGUUUCUUUUCUCAUCUAUAAAACAGUGUGAAAAUGCAUAAUUUAUAAAGAUUAAAAUGUAUUCAAGUAUCUAAUUAGUAAAACAAUAGGUGAUUUUUAAAGGCCCUGUCAUGUCCCAAUGUUUCUUAAUGAGUAUAUAUUAUUUAAAUACUGAUAGGUAUUUUCCACUAGUGUCCUGGAAAAUGUAUUCAGUGCCUACUCAUCUAAAGAAUUCCUAUUUUGCUCCCCACUGAAGUUGUAGGUUGCUGUCCUAUACUGGAUUGGACAGAGGCAGGAAUGAAAUAGCAGGGAAUAAAUAUUUUAUUUCUCAAGUCUUAAAAUAACUAAAAUAUUAGAGAGAAAAAAUAUGUGCAAAAGAACCUUCUCUAUCAAGUUUGGAAUCUGAGUCCCUUGACAGGUUUCAUUGGUAAAUUUUUAUACAACACUGACUUAGAAUUUUGUAUAUACCUGUAUUGUCAAUCCCUGUAGAAAUAUUCUGAAACUGUCAACACCUAUGCAUAUGCAAAUCUCACCUUUCCUUCAAACUACAGCAUAAAAGCCAUUAAGCCUCCCUUUGUUCUUUGAAGCUGGAAAUUCUAAACAGCUUGUCUGAACUCAGUGGGUUCUUCAUCUGUCUGUCUCCCAGGAGCACAUGCCUAAGAAAAUGUUGGCAAGAAAAAAAGAGAUAUUAUUAUACCAUUAAAACAGAGUAUAGGGAGAAAAGAUAAAAUUACCUAUAUGCUUGUCCUAAGACAUUAGCUGCUAGGAUUUUGGUUUAUUC